UACGUAGGGUGCAAGCGUUAAUCGGAAUUACUGGGCGUAAAGCGUGCGCAGGCGGUUAUAUAAGACAGAUGUGAAAUCCCGGGGCUCAACCUGGGAACUGCAUUUGUGACUGUAUAGCUAGAGUACGGUAGAGGGGGAUGGAAUUCCGCGUGUAGCAGUGAAAUGCGUAGAUAUGCGGAGGAACACCAAUGGCGAAGGCAAUCCCCUGGGCCUGUACUGACGCUCAUGCACGAAAGCGUGGGGAGCAAACAGG
rnacentral:rRNA from 1 species